AACGAACGCUGGCGGCAUGCCUAACACAUGCAAGUCGAACGAGACCUUCGGGUCUAGUGGCGCACGGGUGCGUAACGCGUGGGGACCUGCCCUUAGGUUCGGAAUAACUCCCCGAAAGGGGUGCUAAUACCGGAUAAUGUCUUCGGACCAAAGAUUUAUCGCCUUUGGAUGGGCCCGCGUUGGAUUAGCUAGUUGGUAGGGUAAAAGCCUACCAAGGCGACGAUCCAUAGCUGGUCUGAGAGGAUGAUCAGCCACACUGGGACUGAGACACGGCCCAGACUCCUACGGGAGGCAGCAGUGGGGAAUAUUGGACAAUGGGCGAAAGCCUGAUCCAGCAAUGCCGCGUGAGUGAUGAAGGCCUUAGGGUUGUAAAGCUCUUUUACCCGGGAUGAUAAUGACAGUACCGGGAGAAUAAACUCCGGCUAACUCCGU
rnacentral:rRNA from 1 species